CAGAUUUAUGACGUAUUUUGACGUCACAGAAAUUUUAAAAAAUAACAUACUCCAGAUCGCGAUUUGACUUUCCGAAUACCCGGGUUGAGACUCACGAACACCACCAUGGACUAUUACUAUUUGUAAAUAACAUCACUUCGUGCUGUUGUAAAUUUUGAUUCCAGCUUGCUGCAAAUUUUAUGUCUGGCUGUUUAUCGAAAUAUUAUUUUACGUCUGGCUGUUUAUCGAAAAUAUUGAAGGUAAGAUGAAAGUUUGAUUACAAGUGACAACGUAUUUUUGUCGAAUUAUUUUACCCAUUGAAGCGAAUGAAUCAACUGUAAUCUGUAUAGGGUAUAUAACUAUUAACUCAACCAGGAACGAAAACAUCGAAAUGACAUAUAGUGUCGUAUAGUCUUGUAUAACGUUGUAUAGUGUUGUUUAAUCUCUAUAGUCUUGUUAAAUAGUCGUCUAUAGUGUAGUAUAGCGUUGUAUAGUCUUGCAUAGUGUCAUAUAGUCUUGUAUAACGUUGUAUAGUGUCGUAAAGUGUCGUAUAUCCUUAUGUAUUGUUGUAUCGUCUUCUAUCACGUUGUAUGGUGUCGUAUGGUGCCGUAUCUAGUCUUGUAUACUGUUGUAUAAUGUUGCAUAGUGUCGUUUAGUGUCAUAUAGCCUUAUAUAGUGUUGUAUAGUCUUGUAUAACAUUGUAUAGUGUUGUAUAGCUUUAUAUAUUUAUUUAUUUAAUUAUUUCGCCCAAAUUUAACAUUGAUUAUUAAUUAAUAUUAGUUACAAAUGAGGGCUAGAGGCCUACUAGAAACCAUCAGGCUUUUGUUUAAGGCCCCUAGUGUAAUCAAUUAUAUAUAAUCUAUUGUUAUUAUAUAUAAUCAAUUAUAUAUAAUAUAUUGUUAUAUAGUCUUGUAUAACGUUGUGUAGUGUUGUAUAGUCUGUCAUGUACAAUCUGUAUAGUGUCGUAAUUUUGAUAGUCUUGUAUAACAAUGUAUAGUGUUGUAUAGUGUCGUAUAACCUUUUAUAUUGUUGUAUAGUUUUGUAUAACGUUGUAUAGUGUCAUAUUGUGUCGUAUAGCCUUUAUAUGUUGUUAUAUAGUCUUGUAUAACGUUAUAUAGUGUUGUAUAGUGUCGUAUAGCCUUGUAUAUUAUUGUGUAGUGUCGUAAGUGUUGUAUACUCCUGUAUAGUGUCGUAUAGUCUUGUAUAGCCUUAUAUACAGUAGUGUUGUAUAGUCUUUUAUAACAUUGGAUAGUGUUGUAUAGCCUUGUAUAGUGUCAUAAGAUCAUUAAUAAGUUCACCUGCUUACAAGAUAUGUAGCUUUUAACAGUUUUUUUGUAAAAAAAACAUUAUACAGACAGACAGGAUAUAUAAUAGUGUUAUGCGCUUCCAUUAUUAAUAGUGUUAUGGUAUAGACGUAUAAUAGUAAUGUUAUGGUAUACAUAAUAAUGUUAUAUUUCCAUUGUUAAUAGAAUAAACAGUCCUUGGGUUUUGUGCAUUAUAUUUAUCCAUUAUUAAUAGUGUUAUUAACUGUUAGUCAUUCCAGGUUAUUACUCUAGAGGUGACCACGCUUGACUUUGUGUCUAAGAAUAUUAGUGACAUUAACCUUAGUGACAAUCGCAUAAUAGCUAAAUGUGUGGAGGUAGCCCUGCGGGUCACAUUAUAGAUAUAUUGUCGGAGAAAUAAGCCGUGGAAUGACCCAUAAUUUGUUCAUUUUUAUGAGCUACUAUCGUUUGGAGUGCUCAGAAAAUGACCUGUUUCAUUACAGAGAACUGUUUUCUUAAUUUUAGAUAAUUAGAAUAUUGUUGUAACAUAUAUGCACGCGAUUCUUACAGUACAAUAAAAUACGAUUUUUAUUGUUUAAAAACUAUAAUUGUAGUGUUAUGUUUCCAUUCUAGUGUUAUUUAGCUUUGUAUUAUCCACGGAUUAUAAACAGAUUUUGAACAACCUAACUCAAAGUUUUGGCCGUGAGGCAGCAUUUCCUUGCGUUAGUAACUUCUAGUACGAGUAUUAAUUACCAAAUAUUCUCUCGAUGUUGCUGUGCCAUUCUCUUCCAAGUACUUUAAGUUUCACCAAAAGAUGUCCAGUAAGAGCGUUGUCAAAUGCAGAACUAUGCCUAUUACAAGACGCUUGUCGAUUUUAUACAGACGCUCGUUAAAUCAAACAACCAAUCAUAGUAAGCCAACAUUAAUCCCUCCAUUGUAUCAUAAACGUGGGCGACGCUAAAAAAUGCGUAGUCAGCAAGUUUCGCCCGAUCGUGUUUAAACC
rnacentral:lncRNA from 1 species